AUCGCUUCUCGGCCUUUUGGCUAAGAUCAAGUGUAGUAUCAAAGUGGCUGAGGGACUUCCUUGGUGGUCUGGUCACAAAGACUCGAUGCUCUCAAUGCAGGGGGCUGGGAUUUGAUCCCUGAUCAGGAAUCAGAUCCCCCACGCUGCAACUGAGAGUGUGCCUGCUGCAACUAAA
rnacentral:snRNA from 1 species